UGGAGGACAUACGCCGGGGACUCGACACGUGAUCCGCUCGCCACAAUCCAGUAUGGCGGAAUCCGUCGGUGAGUGGAUCCGUGGUUGGCGCGCUCUCCAACGGGAAUAAAGUCCGGAGCGUUGCAUCCGAUCGCGGCGGAGCUGCGGAGAGGGUACAUAAUUAACAGUGCCGGAUGAUUCAUGGAGAUUGGCAGUUUGCACCGUUUGCCGCAUCUGUGGCUGAAGAGGAAAGAGAGGGAGAAUUUGGCUCCAGCCGCUCUUACAUGAUGCUUCGCGAGGAAAAGCGCUAACAGGAGACGGGGCGUAACUGUAGGAGUUCAAUCUUAUCGAGCAAAGAGGAACCGACACACAGAGCUGGAUUACGGCCAGAGGGGGCGCUAUGAGCCUCUGAGAUUGUCCUUUCUUUCCUGUCCCGUGCCUCUUUUGACUCGUCUUCCCAUUCAGCAGUGGAUGGUGGCCAGCCAACAAGCCCCAGAGGAGCCGUGAGGUGUUUCUCACAUCCUCAUCUGCCAGGACACACUCCUCUUAUUAUCAACCCAGUCACUUCAGAGAAAGCCGCCACUGUCGCCACAAUGAGUUCCCACAGCCGCCCAGGAAUAGCACGUGAUUGGUCUUCGGGGGUUGAGAAUUAGCCUUGAGAUGCCAGAAAAGGCUUUUGAGCAG